ACUCUAUAACCUUUGCGUUUAAUUCCUCGAAAUACAUUGAAACUUAACCCUAAUAACUCAAAUCCACCUGAUUUUGCUUUCUUCUUUUGUUUUUCUUUGCGUUUUAACUCUGCUUUGGAGCUUACUAAAAUUGCCAUUAGAGAGGGAAGAACGAGAGUUUUUUUGGUGGCUGAAGGAAAAGAAUGAAGAAAGGGUUUUGGGACCUAAUUUGCUGGGUUUUGUGCAGGGCUGGCAAAAAUGGGCCCAACCCGCCCAACCCACUUAGAUUUGAAUGGGCUAGGUUAAUAAUAAAAUAAAAUAUGGGUUAUAUUGGGUUAAACCCAAAAAGACCCACUGGAGAUUGGGCCAAAAAUGAGCUUAAUAAGUGUAACCCAGCGGGUUGACAUUCAAUAGAGCCCAACGGGUUAAUCAAUUUAGCCCUCAGCUACUAUAAAUCUCUCUUCACCUCUUCACUUUUUUUUUCUCAAUUUCAACUUAGGUUAAAUCACUUUUUUUUCUCAAUUUCAAUGGAUUCUCUGGUUUUUAAUUCUCUCUCUGCUUGGAACCUGUUGCUUCUUAUAGCAAUCCUCAGAAUUGAUGGAACAUAUAGAUGAAGUCGAAGAGUCGAUUGAAGUCGCUCUACAAGUGUAUGUAGGAAGACUUCUAAGGUAUGGGAUCACUUUUGGAAGUUACCACUUGACACUAAUUCGGAUAGUAGGUUGAGGGCAAAAUGUAAAGAAUGCGGUCAGGUAUAUUUGGCUGAUUCUACGGCUGGAACUAAAUGGGGAUUAUUCCAGGCUUACUGCUACCGUUCAAAGCUUGAUGGCAUAGUCUGUGAAUUGUUUGUCGAUUUGCAAAUGUAGAAGAACUGAGAAAGUGUUGUAGGAGACAUGGAAAGAGGCACUUGAACUAAAGAAAUUUUCAAGACAUUGAAGAAAUAGCAGUUAUGUAAUUCUAUUUUAUGUUUUGGAGGAAAAACCUUUGAUUUUUAAUGUACUGAAAAUGUAUGAAAUGAGUUGAAUUUGUUGAGGUAUUCUGUGAGUUAUGUUGACAACCAACCUUAACUUGCAAAGGUUCUUCUGAUAAACAUAUGAUGAAUUACGUACUAGAUCUUAAA